rnacentral:tRNA from 1 species
AAGGAUUUAAGUUAAAAAAACUAUUAACCUUCAAAGUUAACAAUAGAUUAUUUUGUCUAAGCCUUA